rnacentral:rRNA from 1 species
CCCUUAGAUGUCCUGGGCCGCACGCGCGCUACACUGACCAGUGCAACAAGCAUCCGUCCUUGGCCGACAGGCCCGGGCAAUCUUUGAACGCUGGUCGUGAUGGGGAUAGACUUUUGCAAUUUUUGGUCUUCAACGAGGAAUUCCUAGUAAACGCAAGUCAUCAACUUGCAUUGAUUACGUCCCUGCCCUUUGUACACACCGCCCGUCGCACCUACCGAUUGAAUGGUCCGGUGAAGCCUCCGGAUUGGCGCGCACCUCGGUGCCGCCGAGAAGUUGGCUAAACCUUACCAUUUAGAGGAAGGUGAAGUCGUAACA